rnacentral:misc_RNA from 1 species
GUGAAUCAUCGAAUUUUUGAACGCAUAUUGCACUCUCUGGUAUUACGGAGAGUAUGCCUGUUUGAGGGUAUUUAAAAAGAAUCUCUAACCAAUUUUUUGGUCAAAGGAAAUGAGUUUUCCGCGUUUAUAGCGGUAGCUUGAAGUAAAUGGUUAAGUCUCAUCUUAGUCGAGACGUGUAAGAAUAUUAUUUCGCGUAAUCUUCACUAUGUGACUAUUAAGUUUUGAUGCAUACAAACUCGGAUUGUAUGUGAUCAAUA